CCACAUAUACAAAAAACAAUGAACAGUAACAAAAAAACAAAAAAAAAGGCAUCAGCUCUCUCUCUUUUUCUCUCUCUAAACUCACACUCUCUCUCUCCUCCAAUAACUUCGCCGGCGCCGGAGCACCCCACCAACCGGCCGGCUCCCUUCGUCCUUUUCCCCGUCGCCCAACAAACCAACCAACUCCGAUGACACCACCGUCAAACCCGCCUAGAUCUGCGGCGAACAGUCAACUCCGGCGAAGAUGCCACCGUUGUUUCAACCAUAAUGACGUCGGCGCUGCCGUCUCCCUCGGUUCCAAUCUCUCUGCUCUCUCCCCGAUAAAUCUGUCGCCGCCAGCAGUCGCAGCUCACCCAUCUGGCGAAACAGCCGGUGAACCGGUGCCGCCGUGGGAGAACAGGCUUUGCCGCCGUCUCUCCAUCACCGGAGCUCCCCGGAGCUCGAUCUGCGUUGGUUUUUGGUUUCCUGUUGUCUUUGGUUGAUUUUGGUUUCGUCUAUUUCAUGUUUCGACGUCGAUAGUGGGUUUCGAGUCGCCUUCAUCGGAUCACAUCGCCGUUCUUGGUUGGGUUUCGUAUAGUAAAUUUUUUUAUUCACGGGUUUUGGAGCUGUCCGGUUAUUAUUUUAAUCCCGAGUUUGGUUUGCUCGUUGUGAGGUUCUCCGGUCGAGUAUUUUGGUCUUCGGAUUUCUUUGUUAUCGAGAAGGAUCAAUUUCAUCGAGGUCCAUUUCUUCUAACCGAAUCUUUAAUUUAUUUUGACUUUUUAUUGAUGUUGUUGGUGCUGAUGAUUUAUUUGUUAUGUGUUUGGUUUGAAUCUUCGUUGUCUGUGUUGUGUUUGAUGUUGGUUUCGGAUUAUGAGAUGUGAUUGGAAAAUCAAAGCAUGCACUAAUCAUGUGGUUUAAAGGGAAUUCGGGGCGCGAGUUUAAAAAUCGUUAAAGUGAAUUAGGAUUAAUUUUGAUUUGUUGUUGUUUUGAUUCGUCGUUAUUGUUACUUUCACGUCUAAUUAUCAAUUUCGUGAUAGUAUCAUGGUAAGUCAAGCGGGUAGGCAAUCGUAGGUUCGGGUAGGCGAAAUUUAGGAAUAAGCGUUUUGUUGGAUGUUGGAAUGUCCGUGUGAACGUUUCUUUCUAGUUUAUCGUAUUUAAUUUAGAUGUAUUUAUUUAGCCGGGGAAUGCCCCGAGACCACUUGUAUUUAUUCACCAGGGAAUGCCCCGACGUAUCAUGUUGGCGAAAAUGAUUGUGAUGAAGGCCCGCGGCGUCGGGUAGGGCAUUGGAGCUUAGAUUUAGUUUUAGAUUAGGAUUUAUAUUUUUGUAUUUUUUUU
rnacentral:lncRNA from 1 species